GGAAUUUUUUGUUAGAGAAAUGUCAAAGAAAGUAGAAUUGAACCCUAAAUACAGAUUUGAUUAGAAUCAAUUCAAUUCAAUACAAUUCUUCUUAAUCAUCGUCCUCCGAAAUCAACAAUGGCGAGCCGCAGAUUAAUGGAAGGAUUUUACAGUGUUUUCAUGCGCCGUACCUCCGUCUAUGUUACUUUCCUCAUCGCUGGUACUUUUCUCGCUGAACGGAGUGUUGAUUAUGGAAUCCACAAGCUAUGGGAAAGCAAUAAUGUUGGGAAACGAUAUGAAGACAUUUCAGUGUUGGGACAGAGGCCAGCCGAGUAAUUUUCUAGGUUAUUAUUCUUUUGUGCAACGUGGUUCCGUUACCAUGAAAAUAUGGUCUAUUGACCUUUCAAUAAGUAUGUAGUUAUUUGGAUGUAUCUACCUGUGAGUUUUGAUUUCCAGGAUCAUGCGACUCUGAAAGACUAAAAGUUCUAUUGUUUCGGAGCAUGUAUGGAUUUGUGAAUUGUUUGUCCCAUAAUCAAGGUGUUGUAUUGGCCAGACAUAUUUAUAUAUGGGCAUUUAGCAAAUUAUCUGUC